UGCAGUCGAGCGGAUGAAAGAGAGCUUGCUCUCUGAUUCAGCGGCGGACGGGUGAGUAAUGCCUAGGAAUCUGCCUGGUAGUGGGGGACAACGUCUCGAAAGGGACGCUAAUACCGCAUACGUCCUACGGGAGAAAGCAGGGGACCUUCGGGCCUUGCGCUAUCAGAUGAGCCUAGGUCGGAUUAGCUAGUUGGUGAGGUAAUGGCUCACCAAGGCGACGAUCCGUAACUGGUCUGAGAGGAUGAUCAGUCACACUGGAACUGAGACACGGUCCAGACUCCUACGGGAGGCAGCAGUGGGGAAUAUUGGACAAUGGGCGAAAGCCUGAUCCAGCCAUGCCGCGUGUGUGAAGAAGGUCUUCGGAUUGUAAAGCACUUUAAGUUGGGAGGAAGGGCAGUAAGCGAAUACCUUGCUGUUUUGACGUUACCGACAGAAUAAGCACCGGCUAACUCUGUGCCAGCAGCCGCGGUAAUACAGAGGGUGCAAGCGUUAAUCGGAAUUACUGGGCGUAAAGCGCGCGUAGGUGGUUUGUUAAGUUGAAUGUGAAAUCCCCGGGCUCAACCUGGGAACUGCAUCCAAAACUGGCAAGCUAGAGUAGGGCAGAGGGUGGUGGAAUUUCCUGUGUAGCGGUGAAAUGCGUA
rnacentral:rRNA from 1 species